GCGUUUGUAGUCCAACGGUUAGGAUAAUUAAUGGCCUUCUAAGCAAUAGACUCCGGUUCGACUCCCGAAAACGCA